rnacentral:rRNA from 1 species
CGCACGGGUGAGUAACACGUAUGCAACCUGCCUGCCACAGCCGGAUAAUCGGGAGAAAUUCCGUCUAAUACGGCAUAAUGCAUCGACGGGACAUCCUGUUGGUGCCAAAGGUUGAUUCCGGUGGCGGAUGGGCAUGCGUCGCAUUAGUUAGUUGGCGGUGUAACGGACCACCAAGACGACGAUGCGUAGGGGUCCUGAGAGGAAGGUCCCCCACACUGGUACUGAGACACGGACCAGACUCCUACGGGAGGCAGCAG